GUGAAGAAAAAAUCUUAUAGUGGUGCACUUCUUUUUUUGCUACGGCCCUUUGAAAAUGCCCAAUUUCAAUGAUUUUCCCAUUUUUCAUUGAUUUUUACCUAUUUUUGGGCUAUUAUCGUGAAAAAAAUCACAGUUCCACAAUUAAACUUUUUUUCAUACUUUCUAUAAAGAUGAAGUGGACCAAUCUGAAUAAAUUUUACUUAGAAAAACAAUAGGUAGGUG
rnacentral:lncRNA from 1 species